rnacentral:rRNA from 1 species
GACGAACGCUGGCGGCGUGCUUAACACAUGCAAGUCGAACGCUGAAGCUUGGUGCUUGCACUGGGUGGAUGAGUGGCGAACGGGUGAGUAAUACGUGAGUAACCUGCCCUUGACUCUGGGAUAAGCCUGGGAAACUGGGUCUAAUACUGGAUACGACAUGUCACCGCAUGGUGCUGUGUGGAAAGGGUUUUACUGGUUUUGGAUGGGCUCACGGCCUAUCAGCUUGUUGGUGGGGUAAUGGCUCACCAAGGCGACGAAGGGUAGCCGGCCUGAGAGGGUGACCGGCCACACUGGGACUGAGACACGGCCCAGACUCCUACGGGAGGCAGCAGUGGGGAAUAUUGCACAAUGGGCGGAAGCCUGAUACAGCGACGCCGCGUGAGGGAUGACGGCCUUCGGGUUGUAAACCUCUUUCAGCACGGAAGAAGCGAAAGUGACGGUACGUGCAGAAGAAGCGCCGGCUAACUACGUG